ensembl:lncRNA novel transcript, antisense to ECI2
GGAGGGUCUUCCAACGGCGGCGACCUUCGCCUGGACAGCGGUAUCCUGCGGGCGACCAUGGGCCGAACGGCCGGGACUCCAAGCUUACCUCGGACACGAACGCCGCGCCAGUCUCCAAGCCAAGCUAUACAAGAAGAAGCAUGGCACCAGCAUCUGCUUCUGGUGAGCAGCUCAGGCUGCUUCCAUUCCUGGUGGAAGGGAAAGGGGAGCUGACUUGUGCAGAGAUCACUUCCAAGAGGGAAAUCAAGAGAGAGAGGUAGGAGGUGCCAGGCUCUUUUUAACGUCCAGUUAUCUUGGGAGCUAAUAGAGUAAGAACUCACUGAUACCUACUACCCCCAUCCUCCAUCUCUUCGUGAAGAGUCUGCCCCCAUGAUCCAUACACCUCCCAUUAGGCCCCCCCUUUAACACUGAGGAUCACAUUUCAACCUGAGAUUUGGAGGGGCCAAACAAACCAUAUCCAAACUAUAGAAGUGGCAAAUUGACAACAUCUACUUAUUCGUUCAAAAGAAAUAGGGUGAAAACAUGAGAUGAUCCAUGGAUGUUUCAGCUUUUCUGUGACUGACCCUGCAUACUGAAAAGCAAUAAAUUCCUUGCUAACUUAAAUAAAGUAAUGGCAGAUAUGCCUAAGGCCACAAAUCUA